UCCUCGUUACCUCAAUUUUAUUAUUUCAGUGCUAAUGAUUUCUUCCGUCAUGUUUAAGUGAUUAAUCUGUGUAUGAUGAUUUCAAUUCAUGUCAACAUUAUAUCUGUACAAGCAAGUUCUUCUCCGAUGUUUUCCAUCGCUAUGGAGUAUGGGCAGAUUGAAACAAUCCAUAUUUAACUCUCAGUCCAGAGUAUGAAGCUGCCCAGUUUUGUGUUUGUAUUUUUUGUAUGUUAGAUUGAGGUGUUUGGUCAAAUGGCCAUUCAAGGUUAUAUAUUUAGAGGGAGAAAGCCAGUUCACUGGAGUCCCUCAUCACGAACUGCUCUUGCAGAGGCUGGAUUGGAGUACCCCGAGGGGCAUACUUCAAGAAGCAUAUACGCCAUUUUUAGAUUGGUUAAGGAAGGUCCAUCUUCAGGCGGUGUGCUACAAGAAUUUUUCCGAGACUUGUGCUUGGCCAUAUGGACUACAACUCCUUGGACUAUUCCAGCCAAUGCUGUAUGCUUGUAUUUUCCAUAAUUGAAUUGCUGGCACAGUCUGAAGAUGUCUUUGUUUUGAUUGGAAAUAAAAAGAAAAGGCCUGGUAAUAUUCCGAAGGAGGGAAAGAGGACUUUCCUUCUAGUAGCAACAGAUCUUGUGCCAACUUUUGGAAGCAAAAUGGGGUGUGAAGCUUGUUGUCAAGAAGAAAUUGUUGGGUUCAGAACUUGAAAACUGCAGGUUUUAUUUCUUUCCCUAAACAAUCAGAAGGAACAGUGAAAGUGGGAGCUUCCUUAUCAAGUGAUUUUUCUUCCUAAAAAAACUUGUAGGUUUCAUAUUCGGUUAGAAGAAAUCUAGAAAUGUUGGUAAAUUUUAACAUAUUGUUUUACCAAGCCUAUCUCUUAGUAAUUUACCUUAGUCACUUGAUGUGAAAGUGAAUAUGUGAACUAAGGGUGAUAUAUAAUUAAAUUUGGCUUCAACCACAAACUUAAGCUUUUGAGUGAAUUGACGGUUUAAUAUGGUAUUAGAACAGGAGGUCCUGUGUUGUUCAAGCUCCUGUAUUGUUGUUUCCUUUCCAGUUAAAAUCGAUUUCCACUUUUUGGGCCUUUCAAA